AGGUGUUGUUGGGUAGGGGAGCGUUCUGUAAGCCUGCGAAGGUGGCCUGUGAGGGUUGCUGGAGGUAUCAGAAGUGCGAAUGCUGACAUAAGUAACGAUAAAGCGGGUGAAAAGCCCGCUCGCCGGAAGACCAAGGGUUCCUGUCCAACGUUAAUCGGGGCAGGGUGAGUCGACCCCUAAGGCGAGGCCGAAAGGCGUAGUCGAUGGGAAACGGGUUAAUAUUCCCGUACUUGGUGUUACUGCGAAGGGGGGACGGAGAAGGCUAUGUUGGCCGGGCGACGGUUGUCCCGGUUUAAGCGUGUAGGUGUGUGUUCCAGGUAAAUCCGGUUCACUUUAACACUGAGGCGUGACGACGAGGCACUACGGUGCUGAAGCAACAAAUGCCCUGCUUCCAGGAAAAGCCUCUAAGCAUCAGGUAACAUCAAAUCGUACCCCAAACCGACACAGGUGGUCAGGUAGAGAAUACCAAGGCGCUUGAGAGAACUCGGGUGAAGGAACUAGGCAAAAUGGUGCCGUAACUUCGGGAGAAGGCACGCUGACACGUAGGUGAAGUGAUUUACUCAUGGAGCUGAAGUCAGUCGAAGAUACCAGCUGGCUGCAACUGUUUAUUAAAAACACAGCACUGUGCAAACACGAAAGUGGACGUAUACGGUGUGACGCCUGCCCGGUGCCGGAAGGUUAAUUGAUGGGGUCAGCGCAAGCGAAGCUCCUGAUCGAAGCCCCGGUAAACGGCGGCCGUAACUAUAACGGUCCUAAGGUAGCGAAAUUCCUUGUCGGGUAAGUUCCGACCUGCACGAAUGGCGUAAUGAUGGCCAGGCUGUCUCCACCCGAGACUCAGUGAAAUUGAACUCGCUGUGAAGAUGCAGUGUACCCGCGGCAAGACGGAAAGACCCCGUGAACCUUUACUAUAGCUUGACACUGAACAUUGAGCCUUGAUGUGUAGGAUAGGUGGGAGGCUUUGAAGUGUGGACGCCAGUCUGCAUGGAGCCGACCUUGAAAUACCACCCUUUAAUGUUUGAUGUUCUAACGUGGACCCGUGAUCCGGGUUGCGGACAGUGUCUGGUGGGUAGUUUGACUGGGGCGGUCUCCUCCUAAAGAGUAACGGAGGAGCACGAAGGUUGGCUAAUCCUGGUCGGACAUCAGGAGGUUAGUGCAAUGGCAUAAGCCAGCUUGACUGCGAGCGUGACGGCGCGAGCAGGUGCGAAAGCAGGUCAUAGUGAUCCGGUGGUUCUGAAUGGAAGGGCCAUCGCUCAACGGAUAAAAGGUACUCCGGGGAUAACAGGCUGAUACCGCCCAAGAGUUCAUAUCGACGGCGGUGUUUGGCACCUCGAUGUCGGCUCAUCACAUCCUGGGGCUGAAGUAGGUCCCAAGGGUAUGGCUGUUCGCCAUUUAAAGUGGUACGCGAGCUGGGUUUAGAACGUCGUGAGACAGUUCGGUCCCUAUCUGCCGUGGGCGCUGGAGAACUGAGGGGGGCUGCUCCUAGUACGAGAGGACCGGAGUGGACGCAUCACUGGUGUUCGGGUUGUCAUGCCAAUGGCACUGCCCGGUAGCUAAAUGCGGAAGAGAUAAGUGCUGAAAGCAUCUAAGCACGAAACUUGCCCCGA
rnacentral:rRNA from 1 species